rnacentral:sRNA from 21 species
CAACGAAAACCCUAAAUCCACACACGUAUCGGCACGGUCUGUCGGGUGCCCGCCCUUCGCGGUCGGGUUUCAGGCCGGGAUACGUGGAGGCUCAAC